rfam:Schistosoma mansoni strain Puerto Rico chromosome 1, complete genome
AGUCUUCUGAACCUGUGCUGAAAUUUUGUCAGAUAUCAGACUGUUAAUAAUGAUGAGAAUUCCAAGAUAAAUGAAACA